GACGUAGGGCGCGAGCGUUGUCCGGAUUUAUUGGGCGUAAAGAGCUCGUAGGCGGUUUGUCGCGUCGUCCGUGAAAACUCACAGCUUAACUGUGAGCUUGCGGUCGAUACGGGCAGGCUAGAGUUCGGUAGGGGAGAUUGGAAUUCCUGGUGUAGCGGUGAAAUGCGCAGAUAUCAGGAGGAACACCGGUGGCGAAGGCGGGUCUCUGGGCCGAUACUGACGCUGAGGAGCGAAAGCGUGGGGAGCGAACAGG
rnacentral:rRNA from 1 species